rnacentral:rRNA from 1 species
GAUGAACGCUAGCGGCAGACUUAAUACAUGCAAGUCGAGGGACAGCACAGGUAGCAAUACUGGGUGGUAACCGGCAAACGGGUGCGGAACACGUACACAACCUUCCUUUAAGUGGGGGAUAGCCCAGAGAAAUUUGGAUUAAUACCCCGUAAUAUAGUUGAAUGGCAUCAUUUGAUUAUUAUAGCUACGGCGCUUAAUGAUGGGUGUGCGGCUGAUUAGAUAGUUGGCGGGGUAACGGCCCACCAAGUCUACGAUCAGUAGCUGAUGUGAGAGCAUGAUCAGCCACACGGGCACUGAGACACGGGCCCGACUCCUACGGGAGGCAGCAGUAAGGAAUAUUGGUCAAUGGACGCAAGUCUGAACCAGCCUUGCCGCGUGAAGGAUUAAGGUCCUCUGGAUUGUAAACUUCUUUUAUUUGGGACGAAAAAGGGCCUUUCUAGGUCAACUGACGGUACCAGAUGAAUAAGCACCGGCUAACUCCGUGCCAGCCGCCGCCGUAAAAC